AAAGUCUCAAGACUUUGUGCACCAUUGAACUUUGGAGUUCUUCCGAGGCGCUCGCAAAAAGAGAGAUUCAGCUCCUUCAACAUUGGGCAACACUAAAUGUAAACCAAAUACAGUUUCAAAUGAAAGAUAUCAUUUUGCAAAUUCAAAACAUUACAAGGAACAUUAGCUGCGCGAAGUUCAACAUUGCUAUAGGGAAGCUAAGCAAGUCGCAGAUGCACUAGCCAAAUGAAGCAUUAUUAAUGAAGAGCUGUUGAUUUACUCACACACCAGUCUCCCCUCCACAGCUACUGGGCCUUAUAAAUUGGACCUCAUUCAGAUGGCAUCGCUAAGGCAUAAACAAAAGAGGAACAAUUUUUGUAUAAAUUGGAGUCCAGUUGAUUCUUGAAGCUUUUUUUUUUUUGCCUUAAUACACUGGACCCUUUGUAUAUGUUGUGCAGAACUUGUAAAAUUGUGAUUUAGAUUGUUUAUUCUCCAGCUUGUUCUGUAAUUUAGGGUUGGACUCGUUGCCCCCCACUCUUUGUAAUUUCUUAUUGGUGUUAUAAAAGGUUGCACCAACCUACGGCGGAAUUUUUUUUUUUUUU